rnacentral:piRNA from 1 species
UGCUAUCCAAUUAUUCUUGUC